AACUUUAAAAAAAAAACGUUUUCCGUAUUUGGCCUUCGGCCCCGUGUUUAAUUUUGUUCGGCUUCGGCCAAGAAUUUAUUUCGGUGCAUCCCUAGAAAAUACAGUAUUG